UAAUACGGGGGGUGCGAGCGUUGUCCGGAAUCACUGGGCGUAAAGGGCGCGUAGGUGGUUUGAUAAGGGUGUGGUGAAAGUCCGGGGCUCAACCCCGGAUCUGCCGUGCCGACUGUCAAACUCGAGGACUGUAGAGGCAGACGGAAUUCCGGGUGUAGCGGUGGAAUGCGUAGAGAUCCGGAGGAAGACCGGUGGCGAAGGCGGUCUGCUGGGCAGUUUCUGACACUGAGGCGCGACAGCGUGGGGAGCAAACAGGAUUAGAUACCCUGGUAGUCCACGCCCUAAACGAUGUGUGCUGGGCGUCGGGGGGCUUGCCCCUCGGUGCCGGAGCUAACGCGGUAAGCACACCGCCUGGGGAGUACGGCCGCAAGGUUA
rnacentral:rRNA from 1 species